CCGAAACCGAACGUCUUGGCUAUCUUAACGACCACUGAAUCAGCGAGUCCACCGUGUUUUUCCACCGUCAAGUCGUUUCUGGGCUGCUGUGGAGACACGCCCUUCCUGGGUUUAAUGGCUUCGCUGUCCGGCGCUGGGGAGGAGGCGUGUUUACUUUUCGCAGGGAAAAUAGCGGUUCACGGUGGGACGGUGGACCUGCUUAGUAAUCGGGUGAUUUAUCCCAGGAACGUUCUUUGGGUUUUCCUGGUGGUUUGCGCUUGAACUUCGGCCGAGUGAAGUGGGAGGAGGCGGUAGGAGGAAGGUGGCUUCGGGGAGAAAGGGAUGGGCUCGGCUCAGGGACGAGGCCGAGCUCGAGGGACAGGUGGAGGUGUGCGCAGAUCUGGGAGGAUGCCGCUCCGCCCGCUCUCCCCGACUCCUCCUCAAUGUGCAUUCACUCGCUUGCUCACGCCAUCCCUCAGUCGUUCCUGCCUUCAGGGCUUCGAAUUCCGACCACCGUCUCUGUGCUGGGGAAGCAGCACACCUGCUGAGGCCCGGGCUCCGCGGCGAUGAACAGGCUUUCCCUCCUUCGGAGGAGAGCCCAGACUCCGCGGAGGAGACAGAUGGCCAAAUAGAUCGUUCCCAAUAGGGCUGUGUUCAAAUGACAGGAGGUAAGAACAGCUAAGUGCUGGACACUGUUCCAGGUGCUUUUCAUGUAUUAAAUCGUUCAUUUCUGUCAACAAUCCUAGGGGCUAGGUCCUGAGAAACUGGAGGCACAGAAACGUAAGUAACUUACUGAAGGUCACACAGCAAACAGAUUUGCACCCAGGCUGUCUGUCCAGCCUUUUACCAUCGUGAUCUCCAGCUCUGCUUUGGAAAUGAGGUAGGUCUGCCGCAAAAAAGGAGAGAAGGAUUUUUAGAAUCCGGGUCUUGAGGAGGAAGUAGGGAAGUUUUUGAGGUAGAGGAAGCAGCAACACCAGGCCCCCAAAGUUGAGAGUGCCUGCCACAUGCAGAAAGGCGCAGGGCUGGACGUGACCUGAGAGGGGAAAUGGCAGGCAGGCACGGAUGAUGAAACUUUACUGAAGGAGGGGGUGGGAUGGUCUGAUUUUAAACGAAGAAAGAGCUCUCAGGGGGCUCAGUGGAGGACAGAUUGUGGGCGGGAGUAGAUGAGAGCCAGGGGGAGUGGGCUCCUGCCAUUUCAGCCUUCUGGGGCCCUGUCCCUUUUGCCCUGAUCUUCCCCAGGGCCCGCUGCCCCUUGCUCUCCAGCGCGGUUUGGCUGACUCCGGCUAGACUUGAGGGUGGGCACGUGACUCAGGUCUGGCCAAUCAGCCUCUUCCAUCCCUCUGGCCGCAGGGAUUGGCCCAGGAGUGUACCUGUGACUCAAGUCAGGCCAAUGAGACUCAAUUCUGGGGUUUUUGUUAGACCUGCUCGGGGAAAGGAGGCUCUUUCUCAGGUUGCUGGGUGGGAGUGUGAGUCCGGGAGAAGCCUCUGCCUGAGAAUGAAGCUGCGUUAGUUUGCUGGGGCUGCAAUAACUAAGCAGCACGCAGCUUAAACCACAGACAUUUAUUUUCCCUCAUUUCUGGAAGCUGGAAGUCCAAGAUCAAGGUGUCGAAAGGCUGGUUUCUCCACUUGGCCUGCAGAUGGCCGUCUUCUUCUGGUGUCUUCACGUGGUCUUCCUUCUGUGUCCCAAUCUCUUCCUUUUAUAAGGACACCAGUCAUAUGGAUUAGGGCCCACCCGUGUGACCUCAGUUUACCUUCAUUACCUCCUUAAAGAACCCAUCACAAAAUAUAGCCAUGUUCUAAGGUACUGGGGGUCAGGAUUUCAAUAUAUGAAUUCGAGGGGAGGGAACACAAUUCAGCCCAUAACAGAAGCCAACACAGACAAACACAUGGAGGUAGGGGGAGAGAUCAAGGCCUGACCUGAUUUGAGCCCCUGGAUCCAACUGUGCUUGAAGCUGAAGCUAAUACUAUCCUGGACUCUUGAGUUUCAUGAGCCAGUAAGUACCUCAGCCUCAUUCCUCUCUUUUUUUCUUAAACUAGUUGAGUUUCUGUUACAGCUAAAAUUCCUGAGCGGUACACAAGGGAACCAGUUAGCAAACUAAGAUAGUCUACACCUGAUGAAAUGACAACUUGCAAGGACAGUGCUUGUAUCUGCACCCAGGGCUGUCCAAUUCCAAUAGGCAGAGGUAGCAGGUCAGAAGAAAGUGGGCCGAGCUGGUGCCAGCCUCUUCCCACAUAGGCAGGCGGUGCCACCUUAUCCCAGAAGCCAUGCCGGACAGAGCCAGAAAACCCUCCUUUCCCACCAGUGUUGACUGUGUGGAAUAGGCGGGUGCUGGCGGGUGUUGUUGGGUUGUAGAAGUCUUUUGAGAAGGGCAGAAAGCAUUUUGGAAAGCCUUGGCAAUGAGCUUGGGACAUCACCUCACAGGUUGCCGGGUGCUGCCCAGAGAUGCUCAGAUGGAACUCGAAGGAGCAGGGCCUUGGUUCCAGGAGGUUCCCUGCAGGAGUGGCAGAAUGAGCUCCCCGACAGGGCUCGAUCCUCUGCAUGGGGAGGAGAGCAGACAGAGCGGGCUUUGGCCAGGACUGAAACUCAAGCCUCUCCCGCCCGUCCUCCCAGAGCAUCCUCGGACCCGGCUGUCUGGGCCAGAGCCAGAAUGGUUCUCGGGCCGUUUCUCACCCCAAUUUCAAAGGCUUCGUCUUCCACUGAAGGAAAAGCUUGCACUUUCACAGUGAAAAAUUUAAGGAAAGUGGCGUAUUUUCCAACGUUUUCUCUGGUUGUGAAGGGCAGAAACUUCAAGGUCAAAGAGUCUUGGGAGAAGAGAGUGAUAUUUCCGUGCCUCCUGUGUGCUGGGUGCUUGCAUGCCACAGUGAAACCAUGUCAGGUCGGUGUGCAUGUUUCCUUUUUUGCCUGUUGAGGAAAAUGGAGGCUCAGAGAGGAGAAGUGACAUGCCUGAGGUGGCCCAGCUAGGAAGUAGCAGAGUUGAACUUGAAAGCCAGGUCGUCUCUCUGUCAAGCCCUGGCCCCUUCUGUCACGCCACAUUGCCUUCCACCUUUGCAAGAACAGGAUGGCCGAUCAAGC
ensembl:lncRNA